GCGAAGCUUUUCAGUAGUUUACUACAGAAAAUGACUGAGCGGCGAACGGGUGAGUAACGCGUGAGCAAUCUACCUUAGUUACAGGGAUAGCCCGAGGAAACUCGGAUUAAUACCUGAUAUUCUUUACAUUUCGCAUGAAAUCAAAAGGAAAGGUCAGCCGAACUAAGAUGAGCUCGCGUUCUAUCAGCUAGUUGGUGAGGUAAAAGCUCACCAAGGCAACGACGGAUAGCUGGUCUGAGAGGACGAUCAGCCACACUGGGACUGAGACACGGCCCAGACUCCUACGGGAAGCUGCAGCAGGGAAUAUUGCGCAAUGAGCGAAAGCUUGACGCAGCGACACCGCGUGUGGGAUGACGGAUCUAGGUUUGUAAACCACUUUCAGGAGGGAAGAAAAUGACGGUACCUCCACAAGAAGCCCCGGCCAACUACGUGCCAGCAGCCGCGGUAAUACGUAGGGGGCGAGCGUUGUCCGGAUUUAUUGGGCGUAAAGAGCUCGUAGGCGGUUCAACAAGUCGGUCGUAAAAGUUCAGGGCUCAACCCUGAAAUGUCGAUCGAUACUGUUGUGACUAGGAUACGGUAGAGGUGAGUGGAAUUCCGAGUGUAGCGGUGAAAUGCGUAGAUAUUCGGAGGAACACCAAUUGCGAAGGCAGCUCACUGGGCCGCUAUCGACGCUGAGGAGCGAAAGCUAGG
rnacentral:rRNA from 1 species